rnacentral:rRNA from 1 species
CCCGGUGACAAUAGCAGAGGGGAAAUACCCGUUCCCAUACCGAACACGGAAGUCAAGCCCUCUAGCGCCGAUGGUACUGCGACGUUAGGUUGUGGGAGAGUAGGUCGUUGCCGGGU